ACGGGAGUAGCAAUACAACUGGUGGCGACCGGCGCACGGGUGAGUAACGCGUAUGCAACCCAUCUAUCAGAGGGGAAUAACCCGGCGAAAGUCGGACUAAUACCGCAUAAAACAGGGGCACCGCAUGGUGAUAUUUGUUAAAGAAAUUCGCUGAUAGAUGGGCAUGCGUUCCAUUAGGUAGUUGGUGAGGUAACGGCUCACCAAGCCGACGAUGGAUAGGGGAACUGAGAGGUUGGUCCCCUACACUGGUACUGAGACACGGACCAGACUCCUACGGGAGGCAGCAGUGAGGAAUAUUGGUCAAUGGGCGGGAGCCUGAACCAGCCAAGUUCCGCGUGAAGGAAGAAGGAUCUAUGGUUCGUAAACUUCUUUUGCAGGGGAAUAAAGUGCAGGACGUGUCCUGUUUUGUAUGUACCCUGAGAAUAAGGAUCGGCUAACUCCGUGCCAGCCGCCGC
rnacentral:rRNA from 1 species